rnacentral:rRNA from 1 species
UUUGGCGUCUCAGUGUGAAAGUCGACCACCUAUCCGACCCGUCUUGAAACACGGACCAAGGAGUUUAGCAUAUACGCAAGUCAUUGGGUGGAAAACCUAAAGGCGUAAUGAAAGUAAAGAUUGCUUUAAUGCAAUUAAUAUGGGAUCUACAUUAAAAAGACGUAAGUUGGAUUAAUGUAGCGCACCAUAGUCCCGUUGCGGCGUUGUCGGCAAAGAAGUUAGGAACAAGAAAAUG